rnacentral:rRNA from 1 species
GUCAACGUCCAUACCACGUUGAAUACACCGGUUCUCGUCCGAUCACCGAAGUUAAGCAACAUCGGGCGCGGUCAGUACUUGGAUGGGUGACCGCCUGGGAACACCGCGUGACGUUGGCU